UACAGAGGUCUCAAGCGUUGUCCGGAAUCAUUGGGCGUAAAGAGCGUGUAGGCGGCCCGGUAAGUCCGCUGUAAAAGUCAAAGGCUCAACCUUUGAAUGUCAGUGGAUACUGCCGGGCUAGAGUCCGGAAGAGGCGAGUGGAAUUCCUGGUGUAGCGGUGAAAUGCGCAGAUAUCAGGAGGAACACCGGUGGCGAAGGCGGGUCUCUGGGCCGAUACUGACGCUGAGGAGCGAAAGCGUGGGGAGCGAACAGG
rnacentral:rRNA from 1 species